GUGCGUGAGGGGUGAGGACCAGUGCUACCAAUUAGGAGGGUUGCAAAGUGGGUAAAAUAGCAAUUCCGGGGGAAUGGCAAGUCGUGGCCUUAGGGAAGAAGAAAAAUCAAUUGUGGACAGUGAGCGAGAGACACGUGCUAUUGCGGGAAAAAACAAAAAAAGAGACAAAAUAAGCGGAAGACAAUAUUCAAACACCGGAGUGACGACAGGAGGGUUGGGAUAUACACCAGCGAGGCUUCAUAGGCAGAGGAGUAGCAGUAACUGCGGGCGUUCUGGGAAGUGCGCUGUGCGCGGGUCAGCACCGACCGGCAGUACUGGGUCUUAGGCCGGACCUCGGCCCUAGCGGAAGUCAGGCCAAUUUCCAUGCAACUGGAAGUCUGGGCUAAGUACCCUUCAACAUUAAAAUACUAAAUAUUCACACACAUUCCGCUCAAACAUAGAACCAAAAUUGUAUAUACACCCUACAUACAUAUACAUAGCCAUCUCACAUACACCAGUGCAGCAUAUAACACAAAAUUCAACUAAAUACUCACACAUAUUCCGCUCAAACAUAGAACACAAAAUUUUAUAUACACCACACACUCCUUUAUAUACACUCCAUACAUGUUCACAUACACCAUAUUCAAACACACACCGAAUUUCCAUAGCACUCAGACUCACAUUCAUCCCAUAGCCACAUAAUGUAAAAUACAAAACAAAAAAACAACACACAAAACAAUUAACAAUUUUCUGUUACACACAUAGCCCAAACCAUUCACAACAUAAUAUAAAACAUUAAACAGAAACACAACACCAAACAAGUAACCAUAUUGUAAACAAAAAUUCAAAUGUAUACUUAAGAAAAAAGAACAUAAAAAAAAAAGAAAAGUAAAAGAAAAUGUAUAAAGUCUAAUAUAAGCAAAAGAGGUUGGAAUGUGUAUUGGAGCGGCGCAGUUUUUUUUUUUUGUUUAUCUCCUUGUCAUUACAUAUCAUUACACCCCUCAUAACCACAUACUCGAGUAUAGGUAGGUUAGGAGGUUCGAAAAUCGAAUAAGAUAAAUAGGCACAAAGAGCCAACAAACUGCAGCGUCCCAAAACUCAAUGGCCUAAAUACCCGAAUAUAUUUUUAUUGUAAUAAAAUUUAAAAUUUGAAAAUGAG